rnacentral:rRNA from 1 species
CAGCAGCCGCGGUAAUACGGAGGGGGCUAGCGUUGCUCGGAAUUACUGGGCGUAAAGCGCACGUAGGCGGCUUGGUAAGUUAGAGGUGAAAGCCUGGAGCUCAACUCCAGAAUUGCCUUUAAGACUGCCGAGCUAGCAGGUGAGAGAGGUAAGUGGAAUUCCGAGUGUAGAGGUGAAAUUCGUAGAUAUUCGGAAGAACACCAGUGGCGAAGGCGGCUUACUGGCUCAUACUGGACGCUGAGGUGCGAAAGCGUGGGGAGCAAACAGGAUUAGAGACCCCUGUAGUCCCUGUCUCUUAUAC